rnacentral:rRNA from 1 species
CAGGGCUUGACAUGCUGGAAGUAGGAACUUGAGAGAGGGACGACCUGUAAAGUCAGGAGCCAGCACAGGUGCUGCAUGGCUGUCGUCAGCUCGUGCCGUGAGGCGUUGGGUUAAGUCCCGUAACGAGCGCAACCCUCGUUGCCAGUUAAUUUCUCUGGCGAGACUGCCCCGCAAAACGGGGAGGAAGGUGGGGAUGACGUCAAGUCAGCAUGGCCUUUAUGUCCUGGGCCACACACACGCUACAAUGGAUGGUACAAUGGGUUGCAAUGGAGCGAUCCGGGGCUAACCCCAAAAGCCAUCCUCAGUUCAGAUUGCAGGCUGAAACUCGCCUGCAUGAAGCUGGAGUUGCUAGUAACCGCAUAUCAGCAUGGUGCGGUGAAUACGUUCU